UACGAAGGGGGCUAGCGUUGUUCGGAAUUACUGGGCGUAAAGCGCGCGCAGGCGGCUAUCCAAGUCAGUGGUGAAAUCCCGGAGCUCAACUCCGGAACUGCCUUUGAUACUGGCAAGCUAGAGUCCGGAAGAGGUAAGUGGAACUCCUAGUGUAGAGGUGGAAUUCGUAGAUAUUAGGAAGAACACCAGUGGCGAAGGCGGCUUACUGGUCCGGAACUGACGCUGAGGUGCGAAAGCGUGGGGAGCAAACAGG
rnacentral:rRNA from 1 species